GGGCGAUUAGUGUAGUCUGGAUAUCAUUUGGCGCUUCGGACGCCAGGACACGGGUUCGAAUCCUGUAUCGCCCA
rnacentral:tRNA from 2 species